rnacentral:rRNA from 1 species
GACGAAGGGGGCUAGCGUUGCUCGGAAUCAUUGGGCGUAAAGGGUAGGUAGGUUGUCUUGUUUGUCUAAGGUGAAAUCCCACGGCUUAACUGUGGAAGUGCCUUAGAAACGGCGAGACUAGAGUCCUAGAGGGGUUUGUGGAAUUCCCGGUGUAGCGGUGAAAUGCGUAGAGAUCGGGAGGAACACCAGCGGCGAAGGCGGCAAACUGGAUAGGCACUGACACUCAACUACGAAAGCGUGGGGAUCAAACAGG